UCCACCGCCGCCCCCCCUACCGCGCGCGCGCCCUCCUUGACUCCUGCGCAGCCGCCACCGGGAAAAGGCGGGGGGAGGGGGGAGCAGGCCUCGCGCAAGGCCUACUAGGCCGCGCUGGAGCCAGGCCCUCGCGUGAAUGCCGGGCAAGCAGGGUGAGGUGCGCUAACCGCCCCGGGGGCCGGCGAGGCGACUGCGUACUCCAGACCUUCCCCCACGCAAUGCGGACGGCCUCCCGUGAGCCUAGAGCGGCCCCUUGGACAGCGUCGGUACCACAGAGACAACGAUAGAUAGUGAAUGGCGAGUUGUGUGGUAGAGCGGCAGCAUGCAGCGAGAAGUUGGGAGGAAACCGACGCCCCCUCGUGGGCAAGCUGGAAUCCUCAAGUGAAAAACUUGUAAUUCAUCAGUAAUUGAGAGGGGAAAAACCGUUUCUGGAAGAAGUCCCAUCUAGUAAAUGUAGAAGAAAUGAAAGAGUUAGAAAAAUCACCCAGUUCUGCAACCCAA